CCUACGGGAGGCAGCAGUGAGGAAUAUUGGUCAAUGGGCGCGAGCCUGAACCAGCCAAGUAGCGUGAAGGAUGACUGCCCUACGGGUUGUAAACUUCUUUUAUAAAGGAAUAAAGUGAGGCACGUGUGCCUUUUUGUAUGUACUUUAUGAAUAAGGAUCGGCUAACUCCGUGCCAGCAGCCGCGGUAAUACGGAGGAUCCGAGCGUUAUCCGGAUGUAUUGGGUUAAAAGGGAGCGUAGAUGGGUUGUAAGUCAGUUGUGAAAGUUUGCGGCUCAAACGUAAGAUUGCAAUUGAUACUGGCAACCUUGAGUACAGUUGAGGUAGGCGGAAUUCGUGGUGUAGCGGUGAAAUGCUUAGAUAUCACGAAGAACUCCGAUUGCGAAGGCAGCUUACUA
rnacentral:rRNA from 1 species